CUGCAUGAAGCCGGAAUCGCUAGUAAUCGCGGAUCAGCAUGCCGCGGUGAAUACGUUCCCGGGCCUUGUACACACCGCCCGUCACACCACGAGAGCUUGCAACACCCGAAGUCGGUGAGGUAACCCGUAAGGGAGCCAGCCGCCGAAGGUGGGGCAAGUGAUUGGGGUGAAGUCGUAACAAGGUAGCCGUACCGGAAGGUGCGGCUGGAUCACCUCCUUUCUAAGGUGA
rnacentral:rRNA from 1 species